AUUGAACGCUGGCGGCAGGCCUAACACAUGCAAGUCGAACGAGUGGCGGACGGGUGAGUAAUGUCUGGGAAACUGCCCGAUGGAGGGGGAUAACUACUGGAAACGGUAGCUAAUACCGCAUACCAUCGGAUGUGCCCAGAUGGGAUUAGCUUGUAGGUGAGGUAACGGCUCACCUAGGCGACGAUCCCUAGCUGGUCUGAGAGGAUGACCAGCCAACAUGGAAAUGAGAAACGGCCCAGAUGCCGCGGGGAGGCAGCAGGGGGGAAUAUUGGACAAUGGGCGCAAGUCUGAGGAAUCCAUGCGGCGUGGAUGAAGAAGGCCUGCGGGUUGGAAAGUAUUUUAGGCGGGGAGGCGUUACCCUAAGAAGAAUCCCCGGCUAACGCCGUGCCAGCCGCCGCGGUAAUAC
rnacentral:rRNA from 1 species